rnacentral:rRNA from 1 species
UACGAAGGGGGCUAGCGUUGCUCGGAAUUACUGGGCGUAAAGGGCGCGUAGGCGGGUCGCCAAGUUGGGGGUGAAAGCCCGGGGCUCAACCUCGGAAUUGCCUUCAAAACUGGCGACCUAGAGUAUGGCAGAGGUGUGUGGAACUCCGAGUGUAGAGGUGAAAUUCGUAGAUAUUCGGAAGAAACACCAGUGGCGAAGGCGGGCUCACUGGUCCGGUACUGGACGCUGAGG